GGAGACGUGCCUGAGCGGCCGAAAGGGGCUCCCUGCUAAGGAGUUAAUCGUGUUGCGCGAUUCAGGGGUUCGAAUCCCCUCGUCUCCG
rfam:Actinomyces cardiffensis F0333 genomic scaffold SCAFFOLD1, whole genome shotgun sequence.